UACGUAGGGUGCAAGCGUUAAUCGGAAUUACUGGGCGUAAAGCGUGCGCAGGCGGUUUUGUAAGUCUGUCGUGAAAGCCCCGGGCUCAACCUGGGAACUGCAUUGGAAACUAACGGGCUCGAGUGUGGCAGAGGGGGGUGGAAUUCCACGUGUAGCAGUGAAAUGCGUAGAGAUGUGGAGGAACACCGAUGGCGAAGGCAGCCCCCUGGGCUAACACUGACGCUCAGGCACGAAAGCGUGGGGAGCAAACAGG
rnacentral:rRNA from 1 species